CUCCGGUUGAUCCUGCCGGACCCGACUGCUAUCAGAGUGGGACUAAGCCAUGCGAGUCGACGUAGCAAUGCGUGGCGAACGGCUCAGUAACACGUAGUCAACAUGCCCAGGGGACGUGGAUAACCUCGGGAAACUGAGGAUAAACCACGAUAGGUCACGAUUUCUGGAAUGGAUCAUGGCCUAAAUCUACAUGGCCCCUGGAUUGGACUGCGGCCGAUCAGGCUGUUGGUGAGGUAAUGGCCCACCAAACCUAUAACCGGUACGGGCUCUGAGAGGAGAAGCCCGGAGAUGGGCACUGAGACAAGGGCCCAGGCCCUAUGGGGCGCAGCAGGCGCGAAACCUCUGCAAUAGGCGAAAGCCUGACAGGGUUACUCUGAGUGAUUUCCGCUAAGGGGAUCUUUUGGCACCUCUAAAAAUGGUGCAGAAUAAGGGGUGGGCAAGUCUGGUGUCAGCCGCCGCGGUAAUACCAGCACCCCGAGUGGUCGGGACGAUUAUUGGGCCUAAAGCAUCCGUAGCCGGUUCUGCAAGUCUUCCGUUAAAUCCAGCCGCUCAACGGAUGGGCCGCGGAGGAUACUACAGGACUAGGAGGCGGGAGAGGCAAGCGGUACUCAGUGGGUAGGGGUAAAAUCCUUUGAUCCAUUGAAGACCACCAGUGGCGAAGGCGGCUUGCCAGAACGCGCUCGACGGUGAGGGAUGAAAGCUGGGGGAGCAAACCGGAUUAGAUACCCGGGUAGUCCCAGCUGUAAACGAUGCAGACUCGGUGAUGGGCUAGCCUUGUGCCAGCCCAGUGCCGCAGGGAAGCCGUUAAGUCUGCCGCCUGGGGAGUACGGUCGCAAGACUGAAACUUAAAGGAUUGGCGGGGGAGCA
rnacentral:rRNA from 1 species